rnacentral:rRNA from 1 species
UGCGAGCGAACAGGGAAAAGCCCAGCACCGAAUCCCGCGGCCGAUACCGGACGCCGGGAAAUGUGGUGUUCGGGAGGAUCCAUUUAUCCCGAGAUCAUGCAAUGCGUCCAAGUCCUUCUUGAACGGGGCCACAGCCCAUAGAGGGUGCCAGGCCCGUAGUGACCGUUGCUGAUCGCGGGAGGAUCUCUCCUUAGAGUCGGGUUGCUUGAGAGUGCAGCCCUAAGUGGGUGGUAAACUCCAUCUAAGGCUAAAUAUGACCACGAGACCGAUAGCGAACAAGUACCGUGAGGGAAAGUUGAAAAGCACUUUGAAGAGAGAGUUCAAGAGUACGUGAAACCGUUUAGGGGUAAACCUGAGAAACCCGAAAGGUCGAAGGGAGAAAUUCAUUCGCGUUUCGCUGCUGGCGUUGGGCGGUCGUGUGACGGGAUACGUUCGCGUUUUCCGCACCUUCUGUUCUUCGAACCGGCGACGAACGCGUGCACUUUUCUCCUGGUAGGACGUCGCGAUCCGUUGGGUGUCGGUCUACGGCUCUCGGUGGAGCCCGUUCGUAUUCGUUAUGAACGGACCCGAGUGUCCUGGCUGACUCGCUCGACGGUAUAUAUAGAAAGGUUUAAGGCCGCUCAUGGAGCGUUCGACUCGUGGCAAGCGCGUCAGAUGCGUCGGUGAUCGGACCUAGUGCCGAUUCUGACCUCUGAUGACUGUUGGCUACGAAGUUCUCGAACAGACCUCAGACCGAUCUGCGACGCUAUAGCUUUGGGUAAUUUC